ensembl:lncRNA
GGGGAGAGCGGGGAAGGGCGGACCAGGCAGGAAACUCCCCCAGGAAGGGGCCCUGAUCCUGCCUCAGGCCAGAGGCUCCGCCGAGGUCCGCCCGCCGCCACCCCACUCCACUCACUGCCGCCCCCGCCGCCCCGGCCCGGCUCAGACCCCCGCUCCCUGAGCACAGGCCUCUGAUGUCAUUUCCUGACCUGCCCUCCCCCCAUGCCCGACCCGCGGGUGCCCGAGAUCUGACUCACCGUCCCCCUCCGGGCUUAGCCGGCGGAGGUGGGGCGGGUGCCGCAGAGGUAGCCACGCAGCCCCUGUGCGCCUCCGGCCCGGCCCAGCGACCUCCUCUCCGGCCUGCAGUUACCCGGUCCCCUCCCGCCACCACCCGCUACCCGACCACCUCCAAGUCCGCCUGGGGUGGCCGAACGUAUGGAGCUGGGCUCCAGGGUGCACAAGGAUGGGGGAUGAGGAGCGGGGCGUUCUCCCUCCCAGCACCCCCCAGCUGACUCUGUGCUCGGAGGGGGUGUGUGAGCUGGAACCUCCAGCAUUCUCGGGGAUACGAACUUCCAACGCUGGGCAGCCUCUUAAGGCUUCUAGGAAUUCGCAUCCUCCGCGCCCCCGCCAUAGGAUCGGUUGCGAGAGGGACCGUUCGGGCCCGCAGGGCCGGGAAUGGAGGUGGGAGGGCGGGGCCGAGGCGGCGGCCGCCUGCGGACUGGGGACCCGGGGAGGACGGACGCGGACGCGGGCUGCUAGUCUUUUACAGCUCUUCAGCGCCCACCACUACCCACUCCUCUAGAAGACCCCGGGCGACGGUGGGGCUCUUGGGCAUUCUGAGACUGCGCUUGGUGGAGCCCCCUACUGGCCCGACCAGAUUUCUCAGCCUGCGACUCAGCCCCAGGCUACGCGAAAGAGGCCGGACCCGGGUAAUUCUUCUAGUUCUUCUUCUUCUUCUUCUUCUUUUUUUUUAAUUGCGCUGGGAAACUUACCCAAUCUCGGCCCCAGUUCUUUCCCACUCACUAUCUGCAAACUAAGGAGUCAUGGCCUUUCGCCCGCUAGUCCAAUAUGCAUCCCUAGGCGCUUCAUUUUAUCUCCUCUUGUCAGCUUUUACUGCCUCCUGAGGCCUUCCUCUUGUUCACCCUGAGUGUCCAGUCCCUCCAAAUCUGACUACACUCUACUGGCAAGGAACACCUGGGCCAUGUUUUAGAGAUCAUCCGAAGACUAACACCAAAAGUUUAUGAAGAGAAAGCAGAGGCCGAGCUGGAGAUGGACCCGGGUCACACCCAGGUAGAGAGGCAGGAUCUAAACUGAAACUGGUGUCAAAUCUUUUUGCCUUGAAGCAACACUGGGCAGGAUAGAGCAGAGUGAGGUCCGAGUGUGAAGAUCCAGCCUGAUGCCCAAACUGACGCCUCUUCAUUCUCCUCCGCUCCGUCUGUAAAAGUCAAGGGUUAAUCCAUCUACUUUAUUGCAUUAUAUGGAGAAAUAAAUGAAAUGUCAUAGCUGUAUGCUGUAUAUGACUCAGUAUUAUUAUUCAAAUUCCAGUUCUGCCCAGAAUGAAAAUUCUGACCCGGUUACACUAAGGCGUUUUCCCCCAUAUGUCCCUUUCUGGGUUGCCAGGCACAUCUCUCAGGGGCCUUGGUAUUUGUAAUGUCCUCUCUUUCCUUCAACCUUAUUAAGUCCUUAAUUAUACCUAAGACGACAUCCUAAUCACCUUCGCAAACCCCACUGAUCUUUUUCUCUGCCAUCUCAUUGUCUUUGUCACCACCAGUAUUUCUCACAGCCACAGGCAUGUGUGGCCAUGUAUGAUGGGAAGUAGACAGCGCACACCUCUCUGACACGCUCAAGCCAGUCCUGGGCCUGUCUCUGAAGACCUGUUAGAAAUUUGAUACUGGAUUUCCUGUGCAUGUUGGAGAUUGUGUCUUGGGCUUCACAGACCAAAAGUCUCAUCACAAAUCCUUCAAACUAUGGCCCCUUUGAGGGAAAAAAAGAUAGUUAAGAAGAUGAUUUCCAGAUAACUUCAUAGGAAUAAAAGCCAUCUAUCCUCUAAAUGUCUCCUUAAGUAAUGUGUGUGUGCAAAAUAGAGUAUGUGUAAUUGUUAGGCAGCUGAACCUAUUUAUAAAUCAGAAAUAGAAGAGUGCGUAGGCAGGCAUAGUUUUACUGACAACUAAGAGCAUUCAGGAUGCAGAAUAUUCAAACAAAGACUUUUAAGCCAGCCAUUCUAAAUACAAGUAGAGACACCCAGAGUAUCCCAGAAGAACAGAAUCACUGCCCAAGAUGUCUCAAGAGGAGCAGCAGAGUCAAUGCUCUUAAAAUGAAGACAAUAAGCUGGGCACAGUGGCUCAUGCCUGUAAUCCCAGCACUUUGGGAGGCCAAGGCAGGCAGAUCACUUGAGGUCGGAAGUUUGAGACCAGCCUGACCAACAUGGUAAAACCCCAUCUCUAUUAAAAAUACAAAAAUUAGCCUGGCGAGGUGGCGGGAGCCUGUAGUCCCAGCUACUGGAGAGGCUGAGGCAGGAGAAUCACUUGAACCCAGGAGGCAGAGGUUGCAGUGAGCCAAGAUCACGCUACUGCACUCCAGCCUGGGCAACAGAGUGAGACUCUGUCUCAAAAAAAAAAAAAAAAAA